GAGCUGUGGGCGCCCAUCGGACAAUUACAUUAUUGAACACUCGUUUGUUCCAUUGUAUCACUUUAAUUCUUUUGGUUAUUCGUCCGUUCUGGAAUUCAUCAUUGUAUAAUGUUUAUGCUUUAGAUAAUUUGUCAUUUUCUGUCAAAAUAUCUAAAAUUUAUUCUGAGUUUAGCCCAAACAAUAUACUUAUCUUCUUCUGCAAGUUUCGUGCUGAGUAAGUGGGUUUUCUUAUCAAGGAAAGGAGAUUAAAUGAUCAAUAAAUAAUGGGUCCACGGCAAUUAAAUCACGUUUAUUUAUCUCAUCUAAAUCAACCUAGUGUCUUCGAGGUAACAAGAAAAAACCUUGGAGAUAGAGGGAAAUCCUCAAGGAGGUGUUGAAGUUGGAGAAGGAACUGGAAAUGGAAGUACAUGAGCCUCAGAAGUCAAAGGUUGUGGUUAUUGAUUCAUCGCAAUCUUGGGACUCCUAUGUUGACCAGGCCACUAAUCAGAACUGCCCUGUUGUUGUGCACUUCACUGCUUGCUGGUGCAUGCCCUCGGUGGCUAUGAAUCCUUUUUUUGAAGAACUGGCUUCAAGCUAUCAAGAUGUUCUUUUUCUGACUGUUGAUGUUGAUGAAGUCAAGGAUGUGGCCACCAGGUUGGAGAUAAAAGCCAUGCCGACGUUUGUGCUUUUUAAGGAUGGGACUGUGGUGGAUAAGAUCAUUGGUGCCAACCCAGAAGAGUUAAAGAAAAGGAUAGAUGGGUUUGUUCAGUCCAUUCGUGUCUCAGUUGCAUAGUUAAGCAUGUUACUUUGUAAUCUGUAAGAUAUAUGCUUGCAGUCCUUCUGGGCCAGCCCUUACAGGGAUUUCAGGUUCCAUUAAGACAAGCCUCUGAGCAAGGGAACGGGAAUUUGAGCUGCUCUUUAUUCUGUCCAUUAUGAUAAAGUUUCAAGAAUAGGAUGUUGAGACUAUUACAGAACUUAAGUUUAGAACUACAGAGACCUGAAACAUUCAGGAAGACUCAAGACAUCCAAAGGGAACAUGCCUCUUGUUUCACUGGUUCAUCUCUGCUGUUCGUCCAUUUUCUGUCUGGUGCUGAGCUGAAAUUCUGCCCUGUUCUUUGUAGUUCUGUGGCUAAAACAGACACAGAGGAAGAUGAAGGGGAAAAAAAUUCCUUACCUGUCCAUAUCCAUUGCCUUGAAGAAAAUAGAGAGAGAAGAAAGAAAGCCAAACCAAAAGCAAAGCCCCUAAUUUCAUCCAUGGAAGCUUCAAUCUGAGUGACCAGACAAGGAAAAUAGCAAACAGAAGAGUGAUUAACCAUUCUGGGAACACUCUGUUGCAGAUAACUCCAAAACUCACUCCAAGAAGCAUGCAAGGUUCUGAACAAAGAGCUAUGUCAUAAUCAAUCAAUGACUUGCCUCCGAACUCACAACUUCUGCACAAAUUGCACAGGACAUUUGCGAUUGACCCACCUGUAACCAUGAAAGAUGAGAGACUUGAAGCUGUUUUGAGGUCUAGUUUAGCCACAAUAGUUAAAAUGGGUAUGAAAAGUCCACCACCACCUAGUCCACCGGCACUGGCAAUAGAGGAAGCUAUGAAGCAGAAGAUUGCUGCAAGCACGAUUGGGAGAGAUGUAAGUGAAUGAUCAUGGGGUGUUAUGAAUUCUUGUGUUGUGCUUUCUCGUUGCAGAACUUGGUGCCAAACAUGGUGGAUUUUGAAGAUAUCUGAAGAUGGUGGGGUUUGUUUUGCAUUAGAAGGAAUAGUACUGAAGGACGUUGUGAAGGUGAGAACCAAACAACAACACGCAAGGCUGUGAGUGUUCAUGGUUUGGUUAGAGACUUUUGAGUAAUUGGAAUGCUUUUACUUUGCAAAAUGGCUUUAUGACCUUAAAUGAAGACAGUUGCGGGAAAUUACUAAUUUAUUAGGGAGGAGAAAAUUGAUAUGCUGUAUAGGUUUCCCUUGGUGGAUGGAAAGGGAUGAUGAUCAUGACAAUUGAAAGUAAUCCCGUUUGUCUA